CAGUUACGGUUCAUUGGAUAUUAUUUUUUACAUGGAUAACUGUGGUAAAUCUAGAGCUAAUACAUGCACAAAAGCUCUAACCUUUAAGGAAAGAGCGCAUUUAUUAGACCAAGACCAAUGGUUAUAAUUGAUAUUAUAACUUAAAAAAGUUGGUGACUCUGAAUAACUGAGCUAAUCGUAUGGCCUCUGUGCCGACGAUAUAUCCUUCAAGCGUCUGCCUUAUCAACUGUA
rnacentral:rRNA from 1 species